GGUUGCGUAGUGUAGUGGUUAUCACUUCAGAUUGUAUGUUUAUCUUACUAUGCAACGACUCCUCUAUCAGUUGACUAAUUAAACCUCCAGUUGAUCUCAGCAUUGAUAUUCUGAUAACCCCGGUUCGAACCCGGGCGCGACCU
rnacentral:tRNA from 1 species